CCUUCGAUAGCUCAGUUGGUAGAGCGGAGGACUGUAGAUACUUAGGUCGCUGGUUCGAAUCCGGCUCGUAGGA
rnacentral:tRNA from 1 species